rnacentral:rRNA from 1 species
CCCUUAGAUGUUCUGGGCCGCACGCGCGCUACACUGAUUCAUGCAACAAGUUUUGUCCUUGGCUGAUAGGCCUGGGUAAUCUUUGAACGUGAAUCGUGAUGGGGAUAGAUGAUUGCAAUUAUUCAUCUUCAACGAGGAAUUCCUAGUAAACGCAAGUCAUCAGCUUGCAUUGAUUACGUCCCUGCCCUUUGUACACACCGCCCGUCGCACCUACCGAUUGAAUGGUCCGGUGAAGUCUUCGGAUCUGAGAGAUGUCUGAUUAAUUUCGGACGCCUUUUGGAAAAGUUGCUUAAACCUUACCAUUUAGAGGAAGGUGAAGUCGUAACA